ACCCCGCGCCCCGCCUCCCUCACGCGCCUGCGCGGGGGGGGGGGCACCCUGGAGGCUGUGCGCUUGCGCACUUCCCGCCUACCCGCGGUAGACCCAGGCUAAAGUUUAGCCUGUUGUUUCAGUUAAUGGUUUAAUUCGGGUGCCAAUGUUAAAGUCCUUGACCUUGAACUCUGGCUUCUGCCGAACCUCUCUGGAAUCCCUGCUCCCAUCCUCAAUAAGUGACUAAAGUGUGGAUCAAGAUGUUAGCUCCCAGAUGCUGCUCCAGUGGCCAUGCCUACUGCCGUUCUCACCAUCAUGAUCUUCAAGAACUCAGCCUCUGAAACUGAGCCCCAAAUCUACCAGUCAUAACAUCAAAGAAGUUUCCGAUGUUGGUCUCAACACUGCUGAAGAUGAUGCCACUGUUCUGAUUGCUGAAGUGAGUUGCUAGAGAAGCCAUGAAAGCGAUCUAAGGAGAAAGCUGGUGGUCAAGGCAAAUUUGUCUUAAAGAAAAACAUCCCUGUACAGGAUGUCUCUUCUACCUGGUGUUCAAAGGCGAAGACAUAACUAUGAUGCUUGCCUAUGGGUUAAGUAUCAACAACAUCUGGAAUCUUCCACCUCCCUGUAGUUGAUGGAGUUGCAGUUCUGUAUAGCUGGCUUGGGCUCCGAAAGCUCCCAGAGGAUGUAUGAGGACAUUGGGCUCCCGAAAUAUCCAGGACUGCCCCCUACAUCCUUCCUGCCUUUCCUCCAGCUCCAGCCCGGGAUGUUGGCACAGCUCGUAGUACAAGCAGCAAAGAUGUAGGUGCAUAGGAAUAUAUGCAUAAAAAACCCGGUCCCCCAGCUUAGCUUUGCAUGUUGGAGGCAAAUAUUUGUUUAGCCUUACAAAGGAGGCAGUUGUGAGGUGUGUAGGUGCCCUGUGGCCUCCCCUGCUCUGCUUCAACAUGGCUUGGGUCCAAAGAGAUCAGUUAUGGUCUGGCGGUAGACAGUCAGGAGUUAUGCUGGAUUCAAGGUCUCUUUAUUUCAGGGCCAACUUAAAGAGUAGCUAAUGAAGGAGACUAUCUGGCCAAUUUUCAGAAACACUUGAUGAGUAACCCACAUUUCCCUAGUCCUUUUGGGUAAAAAAUAAAUACUCCUUAUACGCACUUGGGUGAAUUCAGAGAUGCCACA